CGCUGGCGGCGUGCUUAACACAUGCAAGUCGAACGAGAAUCUACUGAAAGAGUUUUCGGACAAUGGAAGUAGAGGAAAGUGGCGGACGGGUGAGUAACGCGUGAGGAACCUGCCUUGAAGAGGGGGACAACAGUUGGAAACGACUGCUAAUACCGCAUGACGCAUAGAGGUCGCAUGAUCUUUAUGCCAAAGAUUUAUCGCUUCAAGAUGGCCUCGCGUCUGAUUAGCUAGUUGGCGGGGUAACGGCCCACCAAGGCGACGAUCAGUAGCCGGACUGAGAGGUUGAACGGCCACAUUGGGACUGAGAUACGGCCCAGACUCCUACGGGAGGCAGCAGUGGGGAAUAUUGGGCAAUGGGCGCAAGCCUGACCCAGCAACGCCGCGUGAAGGAAGAAGGCUUUCGGGUUGUAAACUUCUUUUAAGAGGGAAGAGCAGAAGACGGUACCUCUAGAAUAAGCCACGGCUAACUACGUG
rnacentral:rRNA from 1 species